rnacentral:rRNA from 1 species
AUUGAACGCUGGCGGCAGGCCUAACACAUGCAAGUCGAACGAGUGGCGGACGGGUGAGUAAUGUCUGGGAAACUGCCUGAUGGAGGGUGAUAACUACUGGUAACGGUAGCUUAUUCCUCAUACCAUCGGAUGUGCCCAGAUGGGAUUAGCUAGUAGGUGGGGUAAAGGCUCACCUAGGCGACGAUCCCUAGCUGGACUGAGAGGAUGACCGGCAACACUGGAACGGAGACACGGUCCAUACUCCUGCGGGCGGCAGCAGUGGGGAAUAUUGCACAAUGGGAGCAAGCCUGAUGCAGCGAUGCCGCGUGUAUGAAGAAGGCCUUCGGGUUGUAAAGUACUUUCAGCGAGGAGGCGUUACCCGCAGAAGAAGCACCGGCUAACUCCGUGCCAGCAGCCGCGGUAAUUC